UACGAAGGGGGCUAGCGUUGCUCGGAAUCACUGGGCGUAAAGCGCACGUAGGCGGACUCUUAAGUCGGUGGUGAAAUCCUGGAGCUCAACUCCAGAACUGCCUUUGAUACUGAAGAUCUCGAGUCCGGAAGAGGUGAGUGGAAUUCCGAGUGUAGAGGUGAAAUUCGUAGAUAUUCGGAGGAACACCAGUGGCGAAGGCGGCUCACUGGUCCGGUACUGACGCUGAGGUGCGAAAGCGUGGGGAGCAAACAGG
rnacentral:rRNA from 1 species